GACGAACCGUGCGAACGUUGUUCGGAAUCACUGGGCUUAAAGGGCGCGUAGGCGGGCCGCAAAGUCAGGGGUGAAAUCCUCCAGCUUAACUGGAGAACUGCCUUUGAUACUGGCGGCCUGGAGUAAGGUAGGGGCGUGCGGAACUGAUGGUGGAGCGGUGAAAUGUGUUGAUAUCAUCAGGAACUCCGGUGGCGAAAGCGGCACGCUGGACCUUCACUGACGCUGAGGCGCGAAAGCCAGGGGAGCAAACGGG
rnacentral:rRNA from 1 species